GGACUCCUACCAUGCUGCCCCCCAAAUCGCUCCCUCUCUCUCUUCCAUGGGUCUCCUUUGUUUGUGAUUUUUUUUAUACCAUCAGUAUUUGUUUUUAUUCUGGUGCCAGUGAAGGGGUGUUUUCCUCUCUUGGUGAUUGAGUUCAGUGUAGGAGAGUAUGCGGUGACGGCUGUUUCAAACUUCCUUUUGGACAUUGUGGUUUGGGUGCUCCGUGUUUUGAUAAAAGGGAAUGCCUGGAAUAUGAGGGACAAACAGACAAGGAAAGUAAGAGCUGUAACGGUUGUCUCCUCUCUCUCUAAAGCCCUCAGCAUAGUUCCUCCCUUUUUCUGUCUGUACGUUGCCUCAUCUCAUCCUCGCCUGCUUGCUCUGGAUAAAUCUUCUCAUCCAUUUCCGUUCCAACUCUUCCUGCCUUCAUUCCUUUUUUCCCUCUGUCUUUCUUCCUUUAUUUCCUUCCAUCCUUCCUUCAUUAAUUGAAUAACUCCUUCAUGCCUUCCUGUCCUGUCCUGCCUGCCAUCCAUCCUCAGUUUGUUUCCUCACCCACUCACCUCCUUUCCUGCUGAUCCGUACUUCUACUCCUUAUUAUCUUCUCUUUCUGAUUUCUCCAGUGUGUUUUCAAGCAAGUUUCAUUUAGUCACUUUUCAUUCUGUCCCUCCCUGUGUCAUCCCUCGCUCCUCCCUCCCCCCUCCCCUGCUCUCUGUAAUUUGUCCUUCAGCGUUCUCUCUCUCUCUCUCUCUCUCUCUCUCUCUCUCUCUCUCUCUCUCUCUCUCUCUCUCUCUCUCUCUCCUUCUCGCUCUCCCUCCCCCGUCUCUCUCUCUCUCUCUCUCUCUCUCUCUCUCUCUCUCUCUCUCUCUCUCUCUCUCUCUCUCUCUCUCUCUCUCUCUCUCUCUCUCAUAUGGCCUGGGCAGCUGGUCAUGUUUGUGUUCCAACUUGUGACCAAAGACCCAGAGGUGGAAGCUCGUUCCUCCACUGUGUUAUAAAUCCUUUUUUUUCUUUUUAUCGGCGGCUGUUUUUUCGUCCAUCCCUCUGCUCCCUCUCCUCUGAGAGCCGGCAGGUCCUGUGACCUCCUCCUCUCCCCCUCUCCUCUCCAUCCCCUCCUCCCGCUCCUCCUCUCCUCGUCACAUCCUUGAACUCUCCAUCGCUGCUCCGGCGGCCGGGACCCGAGACCCCCUGCCUGCAGCCCCACCAAUCUCCAUUCUGGUAUUCAGGCAGAGAUCUUUUGGACAACCUCUCCCUCUCACCUUUCCUUGCUUCCUAGUCCAACAUCCCAGCCAAAAAUGCUUUGCUAAAGCUGGUAAAAUGGAACCAAAUCAACUGUUAAAUGGAUUUGGUCCCCUUCAACCAGCUGUAGCUGUGCAUUGAUCACAGCCAAACUGACAUGAACAAGGAGUGACAGACACACAAAAAUACAACGAAAUAAGUAAAGAAGAGGGAUGAUGAUGGUGAAAAACCCUGGGAAGUGAUGAUUAGACGAGGCUCAUAGUCCCGCUUGGCCUUCAGACAGCCACUUUAAAUCUGUCAGAUCCAGUGCUCGUACAGAGACAGUUGGACAGCCAUUGGAUCUAGGGGCGGCUAGCCAAGCAAGAAUCAAUGAUUGUGGGGAUUUAUCUUAUCAAACACAUUUCCUCAAAGCAUUUCCAAAUGUCCAGGUAAGUGACCAUGUACUGUAUACAUUUGUCAGUCGUUAUAGAUUAUAGGAAUAUCUAGAUUGUAUGUUCAGGUUUGUUGUGUGAAAGCAGGAGUGUCGUGUGAUUAAAAAGCUAACUUUGUGUGUGUGUGAUAUUACUCUUGCACAAAUGUCUGUGCAAACAUACACACAAAUGUGAUACCUUAAGCUAAUGUCUGAUCAAUAAAGGCCCAUCCUUGAGUUACCUAAA